rnacentral:piRNA from 1 species
UUGAGGUUUGGGAACCUGUGCCUAGAUU